GUGAAGGCAAGUGCACGGCGUCGCUCCUCAAUGAAUGGCCACUCCUCCUCCUAAGUGACUUGAGAGUGCUAGGCUCUUCUGCAGCUGUGCCCAUAAUGAUUAAAAUGACUUGGUUAAUUUAAAUCGAGUGAAAGAAAAUAUUAUUUGUUAAAAACUGACAUUAAAACUACGUUCUUUUGAUGGGUUGAAAUCUUCCUAACACUUCAUAGUUAAAAAAAAAUAAUGAAAAAUCGAGCGGUAAAUGUGAUGCGAUAUGUAGAGCAUGGCUGAGAAUUAUUUCGUCAUCGAAGUGUUCGUAGAUCAUUGGCCGACCAUGCACUACACUGGCUGCAAUGCAGUUUUAAAAUAAAAGGACUCUGAUGUGGACGUAAUGUGUUUGAGUGAAUAACUGGAACUUUGUAUUAGACGAACAACGAUGAAACUGAAUAUCACGUACGGCCAAAGGUAAUUUGAAGUUACUUCAAAAUUCAGCAAAUGAGACAUCACAUUAAACAAAUAUCUUCGAAAUUCUUAAUUUUUUGAAUUUGUAAAAUUCAUAUGUAAUAAGCCCAAAUACACCGGAGCUGCACAUAUUUUUUUAAACAAUAAAGUGCGGUGUUUUUUGAACUAAUUCAUAUUUUCUCACGACUUUGCCUCGAAGUAGAGAGACUGACACACACCAUAAUGAAAUAUUGAAAUAGAAAUAGGGGUUUUUCACGCAAGAUAGACGAAAUAAAACGUAAAAGCGGCAACUUUAAUACUACUUCUAACUGUGAAGUGCAUCUGAAGCUGGAAGAGUGCAGCUGCUGUUGUUUGCACCCGGCGCGCUCAAGGCAUCCUGCACUUUACCCGCACUUAAAGCGAACUACCUGUAAACAUUGACCCUGUGUUAUGUGCCCAGCGGGUCGUUGUAAAUAAGAAACUUUGAUAACUUAUCUUUGUUGUUACGCUAGUAAAUUUAGCUGAUGUUAAGAGUGUUGUUAUAUGCAUGUUAGUCGCUGUCUCAUCGUAACUAAGGACACGUUUUCUAGUCUCAUUGUAACUAAGGACUCGUUUAAUAGUCUCAUUGUAACCUGAGACACGUUUACUAGUUUCCUCAUAUGUAAGAGCACCUUGACUAGUUUCAUCGGAAGUAAUAGCUCGUUGACUCUAGCGCUACCGUUCGUGGAAACUUUUUUCGUGGACUUCGAUUCUGAGAUCAACGCGCUGAACAUGAAGUUCGCUGAAGCACAAGACCCUGAGUCAACAUCGCCGCGCUGCUCAAGACGCUGCGCACGACGAAGGCUUUCAUUCAUGAAACAAAAAAUUUCAAACAAAACAAAUAUUGACGUCGAAGAACAUUGCGAAAAAGUUCACGUGCUUAAUCAAAUUACCAAGAUGAACAACGUUCACUUCAAGGGACUCACUUACAUCGGACUCAUUUUUAUCUAUGGACUCACGCUUCCCGGUCACGCUCAUGGCUGGUCUAAACGCCCCCCUCGCCACGUGGUGCCGCCCCCCUCCUCC